rnacentral:tRNA from 2 species
CAAGGAAUAGCUCAGUUGGUAGAGUUCUGCAUUUGGGGUGCAGAUGUCGUAGGUUCGAAUCCUACUUCCUUGACCA